rnacentral:lncRNA from 1 species
CCUGUGACUCCUCACUAGGACUACCCUAGCUAAGAUUUUGCUAAAUUGAAAUAUGACUAUAUACAGCUCCUGAACUGGAGUGGUCAAUCCCAUCUUGACACACGCACCAACAAGUCAAGUACUUGACUACACCCAGCAUCCUUCCGUCACUGAAUUAGAAAUUCAAGUAGUCCAGUGCCUAAGUGCAGUGAGUUGCUUGCAAGUCACCAUGGUGG